CAGGCUAGAGUCUUGUAGAGGGGGGUAGAAUUUCAGGUGUAGCGGUGAAAUGCGUAGAGAUCUGAAGGAAUACCAGUGGCGAAGGCGGCCCCCUGGACAAAGACUGACGCUCAGAUGCGAAAGCGUGGGUAGCAAACAGGAUUAGAUACCCUGGUAGUCCACGCCGUAAACGCUGUCUACUUGGAGGUUGAGGUUUUAGACUUUGGCUUUCGGCGCUAACGCAUUAAGUAGACCGCCUGGGGAGUACGGCCGCAAGGUUAAAACUCAAAUGAAUUGACGGGGGCCCGCACAAGCGGUGGAGCAUGUGGUUUAAUUCGAUGCAACGCGAAGAACCUUACCUACUCUUGACAUCCAGCGAAGCCUUUAGAGAUAGAGGUGUGCCUUCGGGAGCGCUGAGACAGGUGCUGCAUGGCUGUCGUCAGCUCGUGUUGUGAAAUGUUGGGUUAAGUCCCGCAACGAGCGCAACCCUUAUCCUUGUUUGCCAGCACAUAAUGGUGGGAACUCCAGGGAGACUGCCGGUGAUAAACCGGAGGAAGGUGGGGACGACGUCAAGUCAUCAUGGCCCUUACGAGUAGGGCUACACACGUGCUACAAUGGCAGAUACAGAGGGCAGCGAAGCUGCGAAGUAGAGCGAAUCCCUUAAAGUCUGUCGUAGUCCGGGUUGGAGUCUGCAACUCGACUCCAUGAAGCCGGAAUCGCUAGUAAUCGUGGAUCAGAAUGCCACGGUGAAUACGUUCCCGGGCCUUGUACACACCGCCCGU
rnacentral:rRNA from 1 species